UACGGGGGGGGCAAGCGUUGUUCGGAAUUACUGGGCGUAAAGGGCUCGUAGGCGGCCAACUAAGUCAGACGUGAAAUCCCUCGGCUUAACCGGGGAACUGCGUCUGAUACUGGAUGGCUUGAGAUUGGGAGAGGGAUGCGGAAUUCCAGGUGUAGCGGUGAAAUGCGUAGAUAUGCGGAGGAACACCGAUGGCGAAGGCAAUCCCCUGGGCCUGCACUGACGCUCAUGCACGAAAGCGUGGGGAGCAAACAGG
rnacentral:rRNA from 1 species